UACGUAGGGUCCGAGCGUUAAUCGGAAUUACUGGGCGUAAAGCGUGCGCAGGCGGUUUUGUAAGCCAGAUGUGAAAGCCCCGGGCUCAACCUGGGAAUGGCAUUUGGGACUGCAAGGCUAGAGUACGGCAGAGGGAGGUGGAAUUCCUGGUGUAGCAGUGAAAUGCGUAGAUAUCAGGAGGAACACCGAUGGCGAAGGCAGGUCUCUGGGCUGACACUGACGCUCAUGCACGAAAGCGUGGGGAGCAAACAGG
rnacentral:rRNA from 1 species